rnacentral:rRNA from 1 species
UACGAAGGGGGCUAGCGUUGCUCGGAAUCACUGGGCGUAAAGCGCACGUAGGCGGCCAACUAAGUCAAACGUGAAAUCCCUCGGCUUAACCGGGGAACUGCGUCUGAUACUGGAUGGCUUGAGAUUGGGAGAGGGAUGCGGAAUUCCAGGUGUAGCGGUGAAAUGCGCAGAUAUCAGGAGGAACACCGAUGGCGAAGGCAGGUCUCUGGGCCACUACUGACGCUGAGAAGCGAAAGCAUGGGGAGCGAACAGG